rnacentral:rRNA from 1 species
UACGAAGGGGGCUAGCGUUGCUCGGAAUCGCUGGGCGUAAAGCGCACGUAGGCGGAUUCCUAAGUCGGGGGUGAAAUCCUGGAGCUCAACUCCAGAACUGCCUUCGAUACUGGGAAUCUUGAGUCCGGAAGAGGUGAGUGGAACUGCGAGUGUAGAGGUGAAAUUCGUAGAUAUUCGCAAGAACACCAGUGGCGAAGGCGGCUCACUGGUCCGGUACUGACGCUGAGGUGCGAAAGCGUGGGGAGCAAACAGG